GAUGAACGCUAGCGGCAGGCUUAAUACAUGCAAGUCGAGGGGCAGCAGGUCCCGCAGCAAUGCGGGAUGCUGGCGACCGGCAAACGGGUGCGGAACACGUACAGAACCUUCCUUUAAGUGGGGAAUAGCCCGGGGAAACCCGGAUUAAUACCCCGUAACAUAAUGAAGUGGCAUCACUUUAUUAUUAUAGCAGCAAUGCGCUUGAAGAUGGCUGUGCGGCUGAUUAGGUAGUUGGCGGGGUAACGGCCCACCAAGCCCACGAUCAGUAACUGGUGUGAGAGCACGACCAGUCACACGGGCACUGAGACACGGGCCCGACUCCUACGGGAGGCAGCAGUAAGGAAUAUUGGGCAAUGGACGCAAGUCUGACCCAGCCAUGCCGCGUGGAGGAUGAAGGUCCUCUGGAUUGUAAACUUCCUUUAUCUGGGAAGAAAUCUAUUUUUUCUAAAGUAGUUGACGGUACCAGAUGAAUAAGCACCGGCUAACUCCGUGCCAGCAGCCGCCGUAA
rnacentral:rRNA from 1 species